CCUACGGGUCGCAGCAGUGGGGAAUAUUGGGCAAUGGGCGCAAGCCUGACCCAGCAACGCCGCGUGAAGGAAGAAGGCUUUCGGGUUGUAAACUUCUUUUAAGAGGGAAGAGCAGAAGACGGUACCUCUUGAAUAAGCCACGGCUAACUACGUGCCAGCAGCCGCGGUAAUACGUAGGUGGCAAGCGUUGUCCGGAUUUACUGGGUGUAAAGGGCGUGUAGCCGGGCUGACAAGUCAGAGGUGAAAUUCCGGGGCUCAACCCCGGACCUGCAUUUGAAACUGUUGCCUUGGGGUAUCGGAGAGGCGGGCGGAAUUCCUAGUGUAGCGGUGAAAUGCGUAGAUAUUAGGAGGAACACCAGUGGCGAAGGCGGCCUGCUGGACGACAACUGACGGUGAGGCGCGAAAGCGUGGGGAGCAAACAGGAUUAGAUACCCAGUAGUC
rnacentral:rRNA from 1 species